UAUAAACAACCAACACAUCGACCUUAAAUCAUCAAAUACGGAGAAUCAGCACAGGUUUCAACAUCAAAAGCAGAAUCAUGGGUGUGGACAUUGCAACAUAUCGGUGCAGAAUCGGAUGCUUCGGUGGCAAUUGUGGCAGUGAUGUUUUAACAGUAAUGUUGUGCCUCCCUUUCAAUGACUGGCUGAAAGCUGUCGGGUCCGUGAUGUUUAUAGGCACUUUACUUCUUAUAGCUGGAAUAGAGUCGAAUCCAGGGCCCUUACCAGGAGGACAAGGAACCACGAGGAAACCGGUAGCUAUAUCUCAUGUUGUUUGUGAUAUAAGUGACAAAAAGAA
rnacentral:lncRNA from 1 species